GAGAGCCGUAUGCAUCAAAGGUGCACGUACGGUUCGGAGGGAGCUGACGGGUGAUCCUUAACGGGACGCCCGCAGCCUACCCUAC
rfam:Candidatus Burkholderia pumila strain TZHbot3 BPMIctg385, whole genome shotgun sequence.